GUGGGGAAUAUUGCACAAUGGACGAAAGUCUGAUGCAGCGACGCCGCGUGGAGGAUGAAGGUCUUCGGAUUGUAAACUCCUGUUAAGAGGGAAGAAAGAACCGUGGGUAAUAUCCACGGGUGAUGACGGUACCUCUAGAGAAAGCUCCGGCUAACUUCGUGCCAGCAGCCGCGGUAAUACGAAGGGAGCAAGCGUUAUUCGGAAUUACUGGGCGUAAAGGGCGCGUAGGCGGUCUAUUAAGUCAGUCGUUAAAGCCCAUGGCUUACCCAUGGAAAUGCGAUUGAUACUGAUGGACUAGAGGACAAGAGAGAGGAGUGGAAUUCUCGGAGUAGCGGUAGAAUGCGUAGAUCUCGAGAGGAACACCGAUGGCGAAGGCAGCUCUUUGGCUUGUACCUGACGCUGAGGCGCGAAAGCGUGGGGAGCAAACAGGAUUAGAAACCCGAGUAGUCC
rnacentral:rRNA from 1 species